GGGCUGCAUGAGUCGUUGAUGGUUAAAGCUGAAUUGAUAAUUGCUCGCGAUAGUGCAAGUCUGACUUACUUCUUUUCACUACCUCAGAGAUUGGAAAAAUAUCAUGUAUUAGAUGUUCUUGGUUUGAAUCCUAGUUAAGACAUUUAUGUUGCUAGUUGUGGUUGUCUUUGAUGCCGUGGUUGUUUGGUUGGUUUAUCUAUGGUAGUUUGGUGUGAAUAUUUGGUUAGCUAGAGGA
rnacentral:lncRNA from 1 species